GUAUUCAUCUUUCUUUGGCACAGAGUUGUUUUAGUGACGGCAGCAGCUGGAGCCACAGGCCUUGCAGUGAUGUGGCAACAAAUGUUCUUCAGGCCAAGGUAAUAUAGCUGCUGCUGGAAGUGACGAGAAGUGCAAGCUGGCGAUGCAGAGGGGUGCGCAGUCCAGCGUGAACUACAGUCAGGGCAGCCUGAAGGAUGCAGUGAGGAAGCUGGUGGGCGAGGGCGGGGUGAAUGUGGCCAUCGACAUGGUGGGAGGAGACAUCUGCCUGGAGGCUCUCCGCAGGUGCAUGGGGUGGUCUGUCUAGAGUGGGCUGGAGCUGAAACCUUUCCUGAUCUCUGCCUUCCUUCUGGCCUUGCUUCUCUCUCAUCUUUGCUGUUCACUUCUUCUGUAGGCAUCAGCAUCAACGAGAACAGCAAGUGGGUGGGUGAAAAGGAAUAGAAGCAGAGAAAAUCAGGAAAUGCUUAUAUAUAGCAAAAACAAAAUACCCAUCUGGAAAAUAUCCAAAAAAUGACUGCAGACUCUCUUAGUUGGCAAUGCCAAAUGCUUUAGAAAUUAUUCAUGUGUUAAAUUCAGCUAUGCCAGUUCUCACUAACUACUUUAUAUCCAUGUCUGUGGGGAAUUCUUGCAGAGGGCAUUGUUCAGCUAUUAGAAUUACUGGGGUGGCAGUUCCCCUUUUCCCAGUUCAUUGUGGACCAAACUACAGGCUCUUCUGAUCUUACUGCUUUCUGAAGCAGCCAGCAGCGUAGAUAAUUCCUUGACUUGUUUUAUUUAAAAAAUAUCACUGGAGAUUUAGUAGGAGUGUUGUAUCACACCAAUUCUCAU
rnacentral:lncRNA from 1 species